AAAUCUAAUGCUAAUUCUUUUCCCAUUUUUCUCAUCAUGGCUAAACUCUCAUCAUCUCCAACUACAGAUCUUCUUUGGUGAUAGAAAUGCAGAAUAUUUCUGAGAUAUCAUCAUCAACCUUUUUUUUUAAGUAAUGCAUAUCUUACACCAUCUCCAUCAAUGGUUUUUCAUUGAGAAACUGUUCAAUAUAAAAAUAAAAUAUAAUCAAAAAGUAUGAGAGAGAGUAGAAUUAGUCUCUCAAGUGAGAAACUCUGAGAAACCCAUAAGAACACUUGUAUAUCAUCUAUUGGUCAAAUAUUAUUUUAUUGUAAAAAUUUA
rnacentral:sRNA from 1 species